UACGGAGGAGGCAAGCGUUAUCCGGAAUUAUUGGGCGUAAAGCGUCCGCAGGUGGCACUUCAAGUCUGUCGUCAAAGACUGGGGCUUAACCCCGGUAAGGCGGUGGAAACUGAAGCGCUAGAGUGCGGUAGGGGUAGAGGGAAUUCCCGGUGUAGCGGUGAAAUGCGUAGAGAUCGGGAAGAACAUCGGUGGCGAAAGCGCUCUACUGGACCGCAACUGACACUCAGGGACGAAAGCUAGGGGAGCGAAAGGG
rnacentral:rRNA from 1 species